rnacentral:rRNA from 1 species
AGAACGACUCUCGGCAACGGAUAUCUCGGCUCUCGCAUCGAUGAAGAACGUAGCGAAAUGCGAUACUUGGUGUGAAUUGCAGAAUCCCGUGAACCAUCGAGUCUUUGAACGCAAGUUGCGCCCGAAGCCUUCUGGCCGAGGGCACGUCUGUCUGGGUGUCACGC